rnacentral:lncRNA from 1 species
GUCAGCUAUUCUUCAAGCUUCCAAAGUUUGGCUGCAGGUUGUAAAAUCAUAUUAAGUUCUGGCAGUUUAAGAAGCGUGCCCGGAAAAAUAACCAGAGCAGGAAGGAGAAGAGAAGUAUUUGAAGGGCGCAGAUGGAUUUUGCAGCUGGGGAAGGGAACAUUAGCAUUAGCGAAAUGUCUGUGGUGGAGCCCAGGUUUCCUUCACACAAAGGUCACAUCCCUUCACUGUGAAGAGAAUCAUGUUGAAGGAAAAGAAGGAGAGGAAAGGAGAGACAUGGAGUGUCUGCGGGUGAGAAGGGUAGGAGUAACAUUGAAGAGAAAAAAGCAGACAUAUGACCAGCGAAGCUUGGAAAUCUUGCCACGGUGGAUUGUUUUAAGGUUUAAAAGUAGUUAACCACACAAUGAGGCCAUGAAGAUAGAUGUUCAAACCCCGUUACAGUAUGUUCCAUGGAAGACUUGGGAAACUGCAGUGCCUGAAGACGGCAAGCAUGCUGCCAUUGGCUCAAGUCAAUACAAUAAGAGGACACCAGAGAUUUAACCCAGAACUGCAAAUCAGGCUCCUGGCCAUUGCAAAUGCAAGGACAAUAUUGUCUGCAGAGCUAGCA